rnacentral:tRNA from 5 species
GGCUCGUUAGCUCAGUUGGUAGAGCAGCGGAUUGAAAAUCCGCGUGUCCUUGGUUCGAUUCCGAGACGAGCCACCA